GGGUGCGAUCAUACCAACGUUAAUGCACCGGAUCCCGUCAGAACUCCACAGUUAAGCGCGCUUGGGCUAGAGUAGUACUGGGAUGGGUGACCUCCAGGGAAGUCUUAGUGUUGCACCCU
rnacentral:rRNA from 1 species